GCCAGGGUGGAACCUAGGGUGGAACCUAGAGAAACCUAAGUGUUGAAAUGAUUGAGCUUGAGUGCCUUCCCACACUGACUGAAAAUCAGGGUGUCGCUGGUUCGAUUCCGGCCCUGGGCACCA
rnacentral:tRNA from 1 species